UCAUUGCUACCUCGAUACGCAUCGACACAUAACCUCAACUGACAAACGAUUUCAACCCAAUAUGUAUGUGAGAUUUGAUGUUCUCACAGCAACACUUAUGAAAAUGGCUGUCAUCUGGGAUGUUGAAUUGUACAUAUUGUAGAUAUUGAUGUUUCACCAUUCUGGAGCUGCCUCCGCGAUGGUGAUGGAAAUGGUUAAUAUAUACCAGAAUAUGUGGUACAUCUCAGAAGACCAUUAUGCACUUUGUAUACACAGAGAACAAACAUGUCAAACGCAAAGAAGAAAAUGAAUGCAUCAACUGGUGAAGUGGUUCAGCUCAAUUGUUCUGUGUUCAUCCAGCUGUAUUAUGUCCAUCAGCAGAUGAUCUGUCUUUAUGCCAAUACAGGCUCUUCAAAUAAUUCUGAAAUUCUUUACACUAUAGAUCAAUAACUUAAUCACUUAACAAAAAAUGUAUCUGUUGCUCUUUUUGAACAUGCUAAAACUAUCACAGCAUUCGUAUUAUAAUAAUUGCAAUUCUGUUGUUUGUUUGAUGUCACAUGUAUGUUCAGAGAAGGAAAGGUUCUUUUAAUUACUCUAAAAAUAAAAUAAAUAAACGAUCGCAUCAAACAAUCACAAAGCAAAAUAUUUCAGUAACACACAAAAAUGGAGGUUGGAUGGAUCCAAGAAAUAGUUUGGACACAAAUGUGAAAAAGAAACUUUUUUCCCUCCCUGUUACAUGGCUCACAGUCAGUAACUUUACCCAGUCUGGUAUGUGCACAUUCAUCGCCCUGAUGAUGGAGGCAACACCAAAAUAAAUAAGUUACACUAUAACUGAAUAUACUUAUAUGUGUCUCUGUAAUUCAUUUUGCAGAUAUGCACAUAUAUUGCGCCCAUACUCAUACCCAAUUAGACCAAUGACGAAGACACCUGGUAGCAGCGCCCAAGAUCAGGCGACCUUCGGACAGAUCGAGAGCAUGACAUGAGAGGCCACAAACACCCCGGAAUUGACCAUACUUUAUAACAACACCUGUACUCACCAAUCCAGCAACAACAUGGAUUCACGUAUUAGGACAACAACUGCAGAGGUGAACAGUGGAAAUUGGUUGUAUCAUCCACUAUGAACUCUGAAGAAGAGUUUUUUGUAAACAUUAGUAUAUUUUUAUUAAAAAAUUGUUUCUAUA